AUGCGUCUGGUGACCAAGAAUUUCAGAAAGCUACGGAGGCCAUGUGCGUCGAUGGCGGCGCCUCGCUGCAUACAUCUCACCGCCAGCUUAAACAGUGGGUGA
rnacentral:rRNA from 1 species